UACGUAGGGGGCUAGCGUUGUCCGGAUUUAUUGGGCGUAAAGAGCGCGUAGGCGGCCAGGUAAGUCCGACGUGAAAUCUGGAGGCUCAACCUCCAGCGGUCGUUGGAAACUACUUGGCUAGAGCCCGGAAGAGGAGAGUGGAAUUCCUGGUGUAGCGGUGAAAUGCGCAGAUAUCAGGAAGAACACCGAUGGCGAAAGCAGCUCUCUGGGACGGUACUGACGCUGAGGCGCGAAAGCGUGGGGAGCGAACAGG
rnacentral:rRNA from 1 species